rnacentral:rRNA from 1 species
UACAGAGGGUGCGAGCGUUGUCCGGAAUCACUGGGCGUAAAGGGCGCGUAGGUGGCGGCAUAAGGCCGUGGUGAAAGUCUGGGGCUCAACCCCAGAUCGGCCGCGGCGACUGUGUUGCUAGGGCACCGUAGAGGCAGAUGGAAUUCCGGGUGUAGCGGUGGAAUGCGUAGAUAUCAGGAGGAACACCGAUGGCGAAGGCAGGUCUCUGGGCAUUAACUGACGCUGAGGAGCGAAAGCAUGGGGAGCGAACAGG